AUUGAACGCUGGCGGCAGGCCUAACACAUGCAAGUCGGGCGGAUGAAGGGAGCUUGCUCCUGGAUUCAGCGGCGGACGGGUGAGUAAUGCCUAGGAAUCUGCCUGGCAGUGGGGGAUAACGUCCGGAAACGGGCGCUAAUACCGCAUACGUCCUGAGGGAGAAAGUGGGGGAUCUUCGGACCUCACGCUAUCAGAUGAGCCUAGGUCGGAUUAGCUAGUUGGUGGGGUAAAGGCCUACCAAGGCGACGAUCCGUAACUGGUCUGAGAGGAUGAUCAGUCACACUGGAACUGAGACACGGUCCAGACUCCUACGGGAGGCAGCAGUGGGGAAUAUUGGACAAUGGGCGAAAGCCUGAUCCAGCCAUGCCGCGUGUGUGAAGAAGGUCUUCGGAUUGUAAAGCACUUUAAGUUGGGAGGAAGGGCAGUAAGUUAAUACCUUGCUGUUUUGACGUUACCAACAGAAUAAGCACCGGCUAACUUCGUG
rnacentral:rRNA from 1 species